rnacentral:misc_RNA from 1 species
UAACAAUUUGCCUGCAUGUAUUUCAUAUUUGAAACAACGGUUUUUUGCCCCUAUUGAUAUAGAGAUACCUAACCAAGCUGAGGUGAAUGAAGUGAAGACUCUUGGACAUGAUGCUGUGAAGAUAAGCCAAUUGUUCGCAAAGCUGUGCUCCAUAUUGAAAAUUGCUCCAAGAACUCCUGAAGCUGCUGAGGGCCAUUUUCCUGAUGCAAUUGAAUGCUACAGAAACUCGUACAACCCUUGCUUUACCAGCUCUCAUGGUUCCG